rnacentral:rRNA from 1 species
GGCAAUAAAUAACAAUGCCGGGCCUUUGUAGGCUGGCAUUGGAUGAGAACAAUUUAAACCCCUUAUCGAGUAUCAAUUGGAGGGCAAGUCUGGUGCCAGCAGCCGCGGUAAUUCCAGCUCCAAUAGCGUAUAUUAAAGUUGUUGCAGUUAAAAAGCUCGUAGUUGGAUUUGUGGCGGUCGCAUGCGGCCCGGCAUUCUUGUCGGUGUUUGCUCGCGUCGCCAUCCUUGGGUGGAACCUGUGUGGCAUUAGGUUGUCGUGCAGGGGAUGCCCAUCAUUUACUGUGAAAAAAUUAGAGUGUUCAAAGCAGGCUUAUGCCGUUGAAUAUAUUAGCAUGGAAUAAUAAGAUAGGACCUUGGUACUAUUUUGUUGGUUUGCGCACCAAGGUAAUGAUUAAUAGGGACAGUUGGGGGUAUUCGUAUUCCAUUGUCAGAGGUGAAAUUCUUGGAUUUCUGGAAGACGAACUACUGCGAAAGCAUUUACCAAGGAUGUUUUCAUUAAUCAAGAACGAAAGUUAGGGGAUCGAAGAUGAUUAGAUACCAUCGUAGUCUUAACCAUAAACUAUGCCGACAAGGGAUUGGCGGAGUCUCGUUUUGUCUCCGUCAGCACCUUGAAAAAAAAACCCAAAAAACCAUUUUUAUA